GAUGAACGCUGGCGGCGUGCCUAAUACAUGCAAGUCGAGCGAACGGACGAGAAGCUUGCUUCUCUGAUGUUAGCGGCGGACGGGUGAGUAACACGUGGAUAACCUACCUAUAAGACUGGGAUAACUUCGGGAAACCGGGGCUAAUACCGGAUAAUAUUUUGAACCGCAUGGUUCAAAAGUGAAAGACGGUCUUGCUGUCACUUAUAGAUGGAUCCGCGCUGCAUUAGCUAGUUGGUAAGGUAACGGCUUACCAAGGCAACGAUGCAUAGCCGACCUGAGAGGGUGAUCGGCCACACUGGAACUGAGACACGGUCCAGACUCCUACGGGAGGCAGCAGUAGGGAAUCUUCCGUAAUGGGCGAAAGCCUGACGGAGCAACGCCGCGUGAGUGAUGAAGGUCUUCGGAUCGUAAAACUCUGUUAUUAGGGAAGAACAUAUGUGUAAGUAACUGUGCACAUCUUGACGGUACCUAAUCAGAAAGCCACGGCUAACUACGUG
rnacentral:rRNA from 1 species